CUGAUUUGAGAGGAUGAUCAGCCACAUUGGGACUGAGACACGGCCCAAACUCCUACGGGAGGCAGCAGUGGGGAAUCUUGCACAAUGGAGGAAACUCUGAUGCAGCGAUGCCGCGUGAGUGAAGAAGGCCUUUGGGUUGUAAAGCUCUUUCGUCGGGGAAGAAAAUGACUGUACCCGAAUAAGAAGGUCCGGCUAACUUCGUGCCAGCAGCCGCGGUAAUACGAAGGGACCUAGCGUAGUUCGGAAUUACUGGGCUUAAAGAGUUCGUAGGUGGUUGAAAAAGUUGGUGGUGAAAUCCCAGAGCUUAACUCUGGAACUGCCAUCAAAACUUUUCAGCUAGAGUAUGAUAGAGGAAAGCAGAAUUUCUAGUGUAGAGGUGAAAUUCGUAGAUAUUAGAAAGAAUACCAAUUGCGAAGGCAGCUUUCUGGAUCAUUACUGACACUGAGGAACGAAAGCAUGGGUAGCGAAGAGGAUUAGAUACCCUCGUAGUCCAUGCCGUAAACGAUGUGUGUUAGACGUUGGAAAUUUAUUUUCAGUGUCGCAGCGAAAGCGAUAAACACACCGCCUGGGGAGUACGACCGCAAGGUUAAAACUCAAAUGAAUUGACGGGGACCCGCACAAGUAGUGGAGCAUGUGGUUUAAUUCGAAGAUACGCGCAGAACCUUACCAACACUUGACAUGUUCGUCGCGACUCUAAGAGAUUAGAGUUUUCGGUUCGGCCGGACGAAACACAGGUGCUGCAUGGCUGUCGUCAGCUCGUGUCGUGAGAUGUUGGGUUAAGUCCCGCAACGAGCGCAACCCUCACUUUUAGUUGCCAUCAUUAAGUUGGGCACUCU
rnacentral:rRNA from 1 species